GGGAGGGCGAGGGGAGGAGAAAGCGGCGCGCGGGGAGCCCGGCCGCGCUCAGCCGCUCCUCACCUGGGCCGCCGCCGCCGCCGCGCCGUUUCCGUGCUGCUGCUGUUGCUGCUGCUGCUGUAGAUACUCGCCGUGGCCGCCGCCGCCUCCGCCGCCGUCCACGUCCAAGGUAUGCCUGCUGCUCAUGGGGGAAGAAGUGAGCUUGUAAUCCCUUUGGAGCUAGAGUUACAGAUGGCUAUGAGUUGCCACAGGGAUCCUGGAGAUUUGACCGAGGUGCAUGCCCACGUGGAGCCAGAAGACCACUCACAGAUUGAUCCUCUUGUUCCACGAUGUGAGUUGCAGAUAUCAAACUCAGGUGGCCAGGCC
rnacentral:lncRNA from 1 species